UACGUAGGGAGCAAGCGUUGUCCGGAAUCAUUGGGCGUAAAGCGUGCGCAGGCGGUUCUCCAAGUCCGUUGUGAAAGCCCCGGGCUCAACCUGGGAAUGGCAGUGGAAACUAGGGGACUUGAAUCUGGCAGAGGGGGGUGGAAUUCCACGUGUAGCAGUGAAAUGCGUAGAGAUGUGGAGGAACACCGAUGGCGAAGGCAGCCCCCUGGGCUGAGAUUGACGCUCAGGCACGAAAGCGUGGGGAGCAAACAGG
rnacentral:rRNA from 1 species